GAUGAACGCUGGCGGCGUGCCUAAUACAUGCAAGUCGAGCGAACAAACGAGGAGCUUGCUCCUCUGACGUUAGCGGCGGACGGGUGAGUAACACGUGGAUAACCUACCUAUAAGACUGGGAUAACUUCGGGAAACCGGAGCUAAUACCGGAUAAUAUAUUGAACCGCAUGGUUCAAUAGUGAAAGACGGUUUUGCUGUCACUUAUAGAUGGAUCCGCGCCGCAUUAGCUAGUUGGUAAGGUAACGGCUUACCAAGGCAACGAUGCGUAGCCGACCUGAGAGGGUGAUCGGCCACACUGGAACUGAGACACGGUCCAGACUCCUACGGGAGGCAGCAGUAGGGAAUCUUCCGCAAUGGGCGAAAGCCUGACGGAGCAACGCCGCGUGAGUGAUGAAGGUCUUCGGAUCGUAAAACUCUGUUAUUAGGGAAGAACAAAUGUGUAAGAAACUAUGCACGUCUUGACGGUACCUAAUCAGAAAGCCACGGCUAACUACGUG
rnacentral:rRNA from 1 species